rnacentral:rRNA from 1 species
UACGAAGGGGGCUAGCGUUGCUCGGAAUCACUGGGCGUAAAGGGUGCGUAGGCGGGUCUUUAAGUCAGGGGUGAAAUCCUGGAGCUCAACUCCAGAACUGCCUUUGAUACUGGCGACCUUGAGUCCGGGAGAGGUGAGUGGAACUGCGAGUGUAGAGGUGAAAUUCGUAGAUAUUCGCAAGAACACCAGUGGCGAAGGCGGCUCACUGGCCCGGUACUGACGCUGAGGUGCGAAAGCGUGGGGAGCAAACAGGG